GAUGAACGCUGGCGGCGUGCCUAACACAUGCAAGUCGAGCGAACAGACUAGGAGCGUUCUCUUGUGACGUUAGCUGUGGACGGUUGAGUAAGACGUGGAUAUCAUACGUAUGUGACUUGGCUCACUUCGGGAGACCAGAGCUAAUACUGGCUAAUAUUACCAACUGCAUGGAUCAGUAGGCAUAGACGGGUUUGCUGUCACUUAUAGAUGUAUGCGGGCCGCAUGAGCUAGUUGGUAAGGUAACGGCUUACCAAGGCGACGAUGCGUAGCCGACAUGAGAGGGUGAUCGGCCACACUGGAACUGAGACACGGUCCAGACUCCUACGGGAGGCAGCAGUCGGGAAUCUUACGCAAUGGGCGAAAGCCUGACGGAGCAACACCGCGUGAGUGAUGAAGGUCUUCGGAUCGUAAAACUCUGUUGUUAGGGAAGAACAAAAGUGUAAGUAGCUAUGAACGUCUUGACGGUACCUAAUCAAAAAGCCCCGGCUAACUACGUG
rnacentral:rRNA from 1 species